UUUCGAGAUCUGAGGGGGAUGGGUAUAAGUGAGGUUAGUGGCGGGUUUGACGUAAGUCAAUCACUCUCCACUAGUGAUAGGGUUAGAAGAAUGAGUGAGUUUGCUAGAGCUGCAUUUUCCAGGCGACGUUUGCAAUUGCAGGAAGGAAUUGUAUGAAUGAUGAUGGAUGGUAGAUGUGAGAAUGUGGGGGUACGAAUGUGGGGGUGUUUCUGAAUGGUAAUUUUUGUUGAACAUUGUGUUGUGAUGGGGCUACCAACCCUUAACUGUUUGGAGUUUAAAUUGGAAGUGCCCUUCUGGUACGAGGCCUGACCGGAGGCUUUUAAUCUGGUACCACGGGUAACCAGGAGCCCACGGAACUUGUUCCGUCCUGGUUAGUUGGUGCGGCCCUUCGGGGAGUAUCGUGGUGGUUGUGGUUUAACACCCAAAUGCGGGUAGAGCAUCUCUCGCAGUGGAGUUGCGUCAUACAACCGGGUUCCGUGACCCAGAUUACGGAAGAGGCUUAGAUAGUCCUCGUGCCAAACCAAGGUAGAAGUCACAACCAAACAGUCGUGUCUUUAAUUGGUACCUGCGGAAUUGUUCCAAGGGGGCGGUGAUUGACGCUUGAAUUAAUCCUAUACUAGGAACCGUGAGAUUAAGCCAUCGCGGCAGGUGCUCACGUUAAGCCCACUGACUUUCAUGUCCCUAUCUACUAUCUAGCGAAACCACAGCCAAGGGAACGGGCUUGGAAUAAUUAGCGGGGAAAGAAGACCCUUUUGAGCUUGACUCUAAUCUGGCAGUGUAAGGAGACAUAAGAGGUGUAGAAUAAGUGGGAGAUAUUAGACUUCGGUUUGGUAUCGACAAUGAAAUACCACUACUCUUAUUGUUUCCUUACUUACUUGAUUAAAUGGAACGUGUAUCAUUUCCUAGCCAUUAUACGGAUAUAAUUAUUAUGUCUUAUGGUAUUGGGUUUUGAUGCAAGCUUCUUGAUCAAAGUAUCACGAGUUUGUUAUAUAAUCGCAAACAAAUUCUUUAAUGAGAGAAUGCAUUUAUGUAUUAUUGAUUUAAAAAUUUGGUAUAACUCCAAUUACUCAGGUAUGAUCCAAUUCAAGGACAUUGCCAGGUAGGGAGUUUGACUGGGGCGGUACAUCUCUCAAAUAAUAACGGAGGUGUCCCAAGGCCAGUUCAGUGCGGACAGAAACCACACAUAGAGCAAAAGGGCAAAUGCUGACUUGAUCUCGGUGUUCAGUACACACAGGGACAGCAAAAGCUCGGCCUAUCGAUCCUUUUGGUUUAAAGAGUUUUUAACAAGAGGUGUCAGAAAAGUUACCACUAGGGAUAACUGGCUUGUGGCGGCCAAGCGUUCAUAGUGACGUCGCUUUUUGAUCCUUGGAUGUC
rnacentral:ncRNA from 1 species